rnacentral:rRNA from 1 species
AUUGAACGCUGGCGGCAUGCCUUACACAUGCAAGUCGAACGGCAGCACGGGUGCUUGCACCUGGUGGCGAGUGGCGAACGGGUGAGUAAUAUAUCGGAACGUACCUUAUUGUGGGGGAUAACGCAGCGAAAGCUGUGCUAAUACCGCAUAAUCCCUUAGGGGUAAAGCGGGGGACCGUAAGGCCUCGCGCAAUUACAGCGGCCGAUACCUGAUUAGCUAGUGGGUGAGGUAAAGGCUCACCAAGGAGACGAUCAGUAGCUGGUCUGAGAGGACGAUCAGCCACACUGGGACUGAGACACGGCCCAGACUCCUACGGGAGGCAGCAGUGGGGAAUUUUGGACAAUGGGGGCAACCCUGAUCCAGCAAUGCCGCGUGAGUGAAGAAGGCCUUCGGGUUGUAAAGCUCUUUUGUCAGGGAAGAAACAGCAGCUCUAACACAGUAUGCGAAUGACGUUACCUGAAGAAUAAGCACCGGCUAACUACGUGCCAGCCGCCGCGGUAA